rnacentral:rRNA from 1 species
GACGAACGCUGGCGGCGUGCUUAACACAUGCAAGUCGAGCGGUAAGGCCCUUUCGGGGGUACACGAGCGGCGAACGGGUGAGUAACACGUGGGUGACCUGCCCUCAGCUCUGGGAUAAGCCUGGGAAACCGGGUCUAAUACUGGAUAUGACUCCAUGACGCAUGUUGUGGGGUGGAAAGCCUUGUGCGGCUGAGGAUGGGCCCGCGGCCUAUCAGCUUGUUGGUGGGGUGAUGGCCUACCAAGGCGACGACGGGUAGCCGGCCUGAGAGGGCGACCGGCCACACUGGGACUGAGACACGGCCCAGACUCCUACGGGAGGCAGCAGUGGGGAAUCUUGCGCAAUGGGCGAAAGCCUGACGCAGCGACGCCGCGUGGGUGAUGAAGGCCUC